UACCACAAUAUUUUCCCAAAGUUUAGCUCUUAUAUCAUCCACCAUUUGAGAUGGAAAAACAUGCAGAUUGGAGACUCCAUGGUCUUUGUAUUCUCACUCCCAAUGUGUGCGUGUGAACUAGAAAAACAUCUAAAAUAUCAACAGUAUGAUUUCCCUUGAAUUUAUAUGUGAAAACCUGAAAGGCACAGAGGUUAAGUGAAUUCUCUGAGGUCAUCUGUUGACGAAUGUUAAAGUGGAAUUUGGAAGCAGCUCCCCUAACUUCAAGCAGCAAGAGGAAUCUAAUACUGCCUGCUUUGCUCACAGAGAUGACUUCAAAGUCAGAUGAGAAAGCUUAUGAUUUUCCCUAAGUGUCUUGAGUUCAUAAAUGAAGUCUCUGAGGUUAUCUUUUUCAUCUCGCCAUCUUUGUGGUGUAGUCAGAGCAACUAUUGCUACCAUAACAACCUCCAGAUGACAUUUCCUGAGAGACUUGGUGGUCUCAGCAAACACAGAUACAUCAGUAGAAUCUGACAUCAUGCUCUUCAUUAAUGAUUUAAUCUUCAAAACAGCAGCAUAAUUCAUUAAAGGGAAAUUUUCUGGGGAAUGCUAUAAGCAGGAUGUUAAGUCAGAUACUAUGUCAAAAGACCCUAUUCUUUCACAGUGGUCCAUUUUUGGUAUGCACUAUUUGUGAGGAAGGAAAAAAUUGUGCAUGUGUUUAACUGUUCAUGUUUCAGUUGAAAAUUGUGUUGUACCAUUCUGCUAUAUUCUGUUGAUUUAACUGGCUAUGUUGUUUCAUGUGUACAUGUAAAAUAAUGAAAAUAUUAUUUUUAAUAUAGGAGAUUACUUAAAAAACUGUUUAAAAUAGAAUUAAAAGUAGGUUUGUCUUGGUGCAAAAACUUUUUGAAAUCAAUACAUACAGUUUAAUCAUACUACACAUUUUUCACAAACAUUUUGAAGAUCCCUUCUAUGUAUGUGUCUGUGAAGAAGGAUUUUUUAGAAGAUUAAAACACUGCUUAGAUUAUGUCAAUGUAGAGUACAUGAUGUAAAUUAUGAGACUUGAAACCAAGUACUUAAGAAACAGAUUUGUUUGACUUGUGUAUCUAAAUAUUGGAGCAGAUUAUCUACGUGGUUAAGGUUUGUGACAAAGCUAAGCACAACUUCUAACUUUUCAUUCAUGAUGUUGAAGUGAAGUAGGAUAAAUAAACAGCUCUGUAUUUUAUACUAUAUCUACAUGCUAUGAAUAUGUGCAUACUGAAGAUCUUUUCCAUUUAAUGGAAACUGCUAAUAAAUGUAAAAUGCAAU